CAAGGGGGUCAUCCCGACUUACCAACCCGAUGCAAACUGCGAAUACCGGAGAAUGUUAUUACGGGAGACACACGGCGGGUGCUAACGUCCGUCGUGAAGAGGGAAACAACCCAGACCGCCAGCUAAGGUCCCAAAGUCAUGGUUAAGUGGGAAACGAUGUGGGAAGGCCCAGACAGCCAGGAUGUUGGCUUAGAAGCAGCCAUCAUUUAAAGAAAGCGUAAUAGCUCACUGGUCGAGUCGGCCUGCGCGGAAGAUGUAACGGGGCUAAACCAUGCACCGAAGCUGCGGCAGCGACACUAUGUGUUGUUGGGUAGGGGAGCGUUCUGUAAGCCUGUGAAGGUGUACUGUGAGGUAUGCUGGAGGUAUCAGAAGUGCGAAUGCUGACAUAAGUAACGAUAAAGCGGGUGAAAAGCCCGCUCGCCGGAAGACCAAGGGUUCCUGUCCAACGUUAAUCGGGGCAGGGUGAGUCGACCCCUAAGGCGAGGCCGAAAGGCGUAGUCGAUGGGAAACAGGUUAAUAUUCCUGUACUUGGUGUUACUGCGAAGGGGGGACGGAGAAGGCUA
rnacentral:rRNA from 1 species